rnacentral:lncRNA from 1 species
UUUUGUCUAGAUCAAAAUUUAGUCUAUAAUGCAAAUGGUCCAUUAAUAUAAAAGUUAUUCUUAUCGAAUAGUCGAAUUUUCAUUUCGAUAUUUAUAUUAACAGACGGUUUCCUACAGGGCGCUCGGCUUGCCUUCUAUGAUAUCGAGAAAUUUCGGAAACCCUCAAUCCCAGUCCCUUCUCUCGGCGUUUCCAGCUGAAACCAGUAAACCCGCUUCAUGAUAAUAUAUUCGUCUGAUAUUCUAUAGCAUGUUGGAUGUUAGGUGUGGAGCUAGACUUGGUUCAAGUCCGUCUCAGGAGAAAAGUAGGGAGAGACGGACUUGGGACAUUCGCAGCAUUUCGAAUGUUACUUGCAAGAAUUGGCGCGAAAAUUUGUUGUUGUUCUCAACUGGCAAGCCACGCCUCCGCAGGAAAAAUCCGACGGUAAAAUUUGGCGCGCUUGCAGGGUAUCCAAGUCCGUCUCUCCCUACUUUUCUCUCAUAUUUUCUCGCCUUUUUUGACCGCUUGCGUGCAUGGCUAUUUUCAACCCCUUGAGAGACGGACUUGAACCAAGUCUAGUGUGGAGCAUGCAAUUAAUGCAUGAAGCUUGCCAUUUAUGAACGGUUUUAGCGAACUUUGGUUGCAGUAUAACAUGUUACGUUGGAAAUUAUCAUUGAAAACUGGAAAGGAAUGAUAUCAUCUUUACUCGGUCGACUGACAUUGUAAAAUCGGUAUCGGGUAGAUUGUUGCAUGCGCAUGAAUUAAAUCGAUAAUUUCCGUUGUGGCACAAUCGGUCAAUGUUUAGUGACAAAAUUCACCAACUUUUUUCGUCUUUGUGGAUGUUUCAUCGUUACAGGAAAUAGACGCAUGGGCAUUCCUUCAGUUUCCUAACAAUUGACCCAAUUAACUACGGGUUUUCUCUGCGUUAGUUAGGACACAUCUAAUACGCCAUGAAUGAAGUUGUGUUGAUAUUAUGACGUUACAGGGCAUUAAUAUAGCGACCAAAAUGUUCGCAAGAUUCGAAUGUUCAUAAAACGGCCAUAUAAUCGGUUGAAUUAACAGACCAAUUUUCAGUAAUCCCCUUUGCGGCAAACAGAUCAGGAGGGAAGGCGUAUAGUUUUAAAUGGUCGAAAAUCUCGUUGCAUUACUGUAAUAGCAUUUUCAAUUAUUUUCUAGAAUGAUUUAACAUUUCUCAGAAUCCGUUCCAAGAAACACGAGAUUAUGGUUGCCCCAGGUACAGUAACUAGAAAUGGAGUUAUAUGCAUCGAACAUUUUAAGCCUGUUGCAAAUAUGGAAUUUUGUCAGUAUUCUUUGCUCUCAAUACAAAAAACUUUGGCAAAAAUGGACCCUAGGCUAUGCCGAAAAUUUAACUCGGUUGCGAGUAAUAAGACUUGCAACGUUUUGAAUAUGUAGUGUCCUUGUACACAUUUGACUGGAACUUGCUGUUGCUUCCAGUAAAACAGUUUCAUAUCUAAUAUUUAGUAGUAUAAUAUCUUUUAUAAGUAUAAUAAUUUUUUUUUAUAGAUAAAGAAUACCUGCUUAUUGUGAUUCAAAAUCCAUCAGUGUGAUUUUAAACCUUAAGGGAACUUUGGAUAGCAACGUUAUCGUAGAAUAUGUUUGUUUGUAUAUAUAUAAUUAUAUAUUAAACCAUAUGUAAGAAUAUAAACUUUUUAGAUAUGUUCCAUUUCAGUAUUUUUAAAUCUACUGAUGACACAAGUAUUAUUAAUAAAUAAAUUUGUGUUAUGUCAACAGUCGAGUCUAUAUUUAUGCGUCUAAAUUAUCGAUGAAUCAUGUUGUUGAACUCAACUCUGCGGAGCCCCGGCGUCCUUUUUUAACUGCGCGUAAACGUUUUUUUCAGCAACAUACUAGAAGUUAGUAUCGCAGGGAAAGUGCUGCCGACUCUUGGCGUACCUGAAAAUCUGUAUACAAAAAUCUACUCAAAAAAACUUGCCAGGAAAAACAGAUUUUAUAAUCGUAGUGCUGCCUACAACAUCCCGCAGUUCAUGUACAUGUAAUGUUAUUCGAGUUACUCGCGCUACGCGUUUUAAAUAUGAUAAAAUGCUCCCAAGCAGGUGGAAAGUCCCUGCGACAGAGGUUGGUUUAAAAC